rfam:Frankia inefficax strain EuI1c chromosome, complete genome.
GGCUCAUCCAGAGGGGCAGAGGGAACGGCCCAGUGAAGCCCCGGCAACCGAGCGGAUGAGCC